rnacentral:lncRNA from 1 species
CCCAAAAAACCACAAGAAGACCUGUGGUCCCUCCCUUCCGCAGCACAUAUACUGAAAAAAAAAACGAGACCCAACGCCUGACACCGGCGACGGCCCCGCCCCCUCCAGGUUCCACCCGGCGGAGAUCUGGAGCUUCGGGCUGUGUUGCUCAGGCUGUCCUGGAACUUUUGGACUCCAGUGACCCUCCUGCCUCAGCCUCUGGAGCAGAUACUAUAGGGUCUUGCUAUGUAGCUUGGCCUGGCCUGGUAAUCCUGCCUCAGCCUCCCCAGUGCUGGGAUUACAGGAAUGCACAUCACUCCCGGCUCACUCCCCUUGCUUUGAGUAAGCCUAUGACUGAGCCGGGGAUUUAGCUCAGUGGUUCCGCUGCCCGGCUCGAAAGCGCAAGGUCUGGAGCUUGAUCCCGGUACCAAAAAAAAAAAAAAGAAGAGUAAGCCUAUGACUAAGAUCGAAGUGAUACAAGGUCAGAAAAAGGUAUUACGUCUUCCACUUUAUUCUCUUGGGAUACAG